rnacentral:lncRNA from 1 species
GAAGAGGUAGGUUUGGGGCCAACGUUGUGGGGAAAUGGAGGCGCAGGGGAGGUUUGACAUCAUGCUCCACUGCACUCUAUUCUUCUUCUUCAUUUCUCACCGGCCUUUUCUCUUUUCUUCUUUAAUUUCCACCCCUGCAACACUCUCUUUCUUGAUCUCUAGGUGUUGUUUUGGUUUUUUUCUGUGUAAAUCUCAGUGUCACUUAGCAAAGAUGGGGGAGAAGUGUGCUGG